rnacentral:piRNA from 1 species
UACAAUGGCAGGUCUCGUUAUGCCUC